UUAAAGGAAUUGACGGGACCCGCACAAGCGGUGGAUGAUGUGGUUUAAUUCGAUGCAACGCGAAAAACCUUACCCACCUUUGACAUGGCAGGAAUCCUAAAGAGAUUUGGGAGUGCUCGAAAGAGAACCUGCACACAGGUGCUGCAUGGCUGUCGUCAGCUCGUGUCGUGAGAUGUUGGGUUAAGUCCCGCAACGAGCGCAACCCUUGCCAUUAGUUGCUACGAAAGGGCACUCUAAUGGGACUGCCGGUGACAAACCGGAGGAAGGUGGGGAUGACGUCAAGUCCUCAUGGCCCUUAUAGGUGGGGCUACACACGUCAUACAAUGGCCGGUACAGAGGGUAGCCAACCCGCGAGGGGGAGCCAAUCCCACAAAGCCGGUCGUAGUCCGGAUCGCAGUCUGCAACUCGACUGCGUGAAGUCGGAAUCGCUAGUAAUCGCGGAUCAGCAUGUCGCGGUGAAUACGUUCCCGGGUCUU
rnacentral:rRNA from 1 species